UACGAAGGGGGCUAGCGUUGUUCGGAAUCACUGGGCGUAAAGGGUGCGUAGGCGGGUUUUUAAGUCAGGGGUGAAAUCCUGGAGCUCAACUCCAGAACUGCCUUUGAUACUGUAGAUCUUGAGUCCGGGAGAGGUGAGUGGAACUGCGAGUGUAGAGGUGAAAUUCGUAGAUAUUCGCAAGAACACCAGUGGCGAAGGCGGCUCACUGGCCCGGUACUGACGCUGAGGCACGAAAGCGUGGGGAGCAAACAGG
rnacentral:rRNA from 1 species